UGAGCGUUAAAAGUAAAAUUUGUUCCCCCAAAUCAUCAAGCCCACAAAGAAAAAAUUUGUUUUCACAAAAGUGAAUCAUAUAAACGCAGGAAUUAAUGAUCACACUUUGAUCGCUAAGGUUUUAUCCUGAAUCUGCCUUACAAAAAGGACACAUGGAUAGAAACCUAUAUGACUUAGUUGCUAACACUAAGGGGGUGUUUGUUUGAUGGAUUCGAAUAGGAUUUCCAGGAAUGUGAAGUUGAGAAUCUCCUAUUCUCGUGUUUGUUUGAAAGUUUAAAAAAUUAUUCCCAGUUGUUUUAGGUGGUUCCAAAACGAGACGCUAGUUCAACCACGAAGACCAUUAUAAAGAAAGCUAUUCAACCACCCAGGUCCAAAACGAGACGCUAGUUCCCCACGAAGACCAUUAUAAUGAAUGGUAUAGUUGAUCAUGUAUAGAUGACAUGUUUAUUCAAAUUGAGCUUGAUACAAAUAUAAAUUUUCUACAUUGAUCUUAAGAAUAUCAAGGAUUUUGUGUUUGUAAAUAAGUGUAUGGGCAUAUCUAUACUACAAUUGUGGUGCACGUAAGUAUAGUUUUACGGUAAUGUCAAUUUAAAUUAAACAUAAAUACUUUUAAGGUCAAGACUCACUUCAAUAUUCGAAUUUUGUGUUAAGGUGUAUGCAUCGUUUAUGUAUAUAAACAAAUAAAUCAGAUCUUUAUGUA